CGCGGCCUAUCAGCUUGUUGGUGGGGUAACGGCCCACCAAGGCAUCGACGGGUAGCUGGUCUGAGAGGACGAUCAGCCACACUGGGACUGAGACACGGCCCAGACUCCUACGGGAGGCAGCAGUGGGGAAUAUUGCGCAAUGGGCGAAAGCCUGACGCAGCAACGCCGCGUGGGGGAUGACGGCCUUCGGGUUGUAAACCCCUUUCAGCAGGGACGAAAAUGUCGGUACCUGCAGGAGAAGCCCCGGCCAACUACGUGCCAGCAGCCGCGGUAACACGUAGGGGGCAAGCGUUGUCCGGAUUUAUUGGGCGUAAAGAGCUCGUAGGCGGUUGCGUAAGUCGGAUGUGAAAACUCAGGGCUCAACCCGGAGACGCCAUCCGAUACUGCGCUGACUAGAGUCCGGUAGAGGAGCAUGGAAUUCCUGGUGUAGCGGUGAAAUGCGCAGAUAUCAGGAGGAACACCAGUGGCGAAGGCGGUGCUCUGGGCCGGUACUGACGCUGAGGAGCGAAAGCGUGGGUAGCGAACAGGAUUAGAUACCCUGGUAGUCCACGCCGUAAACGUUGGGCACUAGGUGUGGGGCCUCCUUAACGGGUUCCGUGCCGUAGCUAACGCAUUAAGUGCCCCGCCUGGGGAGUACGG
rnacentral:rRNA from 1 species